UACGUAGGGUGCAAGCGUUGUCCGGAAUUAUUGGGCGAAAGGGCUCGUAGCGGUCCAUCGCGUCGGGAGUGAAAAGCUGGGGCUCAACCCCAGUCCUGCUUCCGAUACGGGUGGACUAGAGGUAUGCAGGGGAGAACGGAAUUCCUGGUGUAGCGGUGAAAUGCGCAGAUAUCAGGAAGAACACCCGUGGCUAAGGCGGCUCUCUAGUACGGUACUGACGCUGAGACGCGAAAGCGUGGGGAGCGAACAGG
rnacentral:rRNA from 1 species